rnacentral:rRNA from 1 species
AGAGUUUGAUCCUGGCUCAGAACGAACGCUGGCGGCAGGCCUCAUACAUGCAAGUCGCGCGAUUAAAGCCCCUUCGGGGGUGUAUAAAGCGGCGAACGGGUGAGUAACAGGUGGACAACCUACCUUUUGGCGGGGGAUAACCACGCGAAAGCGUGGCUAAUACCGCGUAUGGUUGCUUGUCAUAGGAUGAGUAAAGAAAGGCGCUGCAAGGCGCCGCCAAAAGAUGGGUCCGCCUCCCAUUAGCUAGUUGGUGAGAUAACAGCUCACCAAGGCAACGAUGGGUAGCCGAGCUGAGAGGUUGAUCGGCCACACUGGAACUGAGACACGGUCCAGACACCUACGGGUGGCAGCAGUAGGGAAUAUUGGUCAAUGGGCGAAAGCCUGAACCAGCCAUGCCGCGUGGAGGAUGAAGGCCUUCGGGUCGUAAACUCCUUUUCUGUAAGAAGAAAGGCUUAGGGAGGAAAUGCCCUGGGUUUGACGGUAUUACAGGAAUAAGCAACGGCUAACUCCGUGCCAGCAGCCGCGGUAAUACGGAGGUUGCAAGCGUUGUUCGGAAUUACUGGGCGUAAAGGGAGUGCAGGCGGCCAUGUCAGUCUGAAGUGAAAGCCCGGGGCUUAACCUCGGAAGCGCUUUGGAUACUGCAUGGCUUGAGUACGCGAGAGGAAAGCGGAAUUCCAGGUGUAGCGGUGAAAUGCGUAGAUAUCUGGAGGAACACCGGUGGCGAAAGCGGCUUUCUGGCGCGUUACUGACGCUGAGGCUCGAAAGCGUGGGGAGCAAACGGGAUUAGAUACCCCGGUAGUCCACGCCGUAAACGUUGUGCACUAGGUGUAGGAGGUAUCGACCCCUUCUGUGCCGCAGCUAACGCAUUAAGUGCACCGCCUGGGGAGUACGGUCGCAAGACUGAAACUCAAAGGAAUUGACGGGGGCCCGCACAAGCGGUGGAGCAUGUGGUUUAAUUCGAGGCAACGCGAAGAACC